rnacentral:tRNA from 1 species
GCCCGGGUGGCUCAGUCGAUUAAGCGUCUGACUCUGGCUCGGGUCAUGAUCUCACGGUUCGUGGGUUCGAGCCCCACGUCGGGCU